GGGCGGUUGGCUCAGCGGUAGAGCGCCUCGUUCACACCGAGGAGGUCACUGGUUCGAAUCCAGUACUGCCCA
rnacentral:tRNA from 1 species